rnacentral:rRNA from 1 species
UACGUAGGUGGCAAGCGUUUGUCCGGAUUUACUGGGCGUAAAGGGCUCGUAGGCGGCCAACUAAGUCGGAUGUGAAAUCCCCCAAGCUUAACUUGGGAACUGCAUCCGAUACUGGAUGGCUUGAAUCCGGGAGAGGGAUGCAGAAUUCCAGGUGUAGCGGUGAAAUGCGUAGAUAUCUGGAGGAAUACCGGUGGCGAAGGCGGCAUCCUGGACCGGCAUUGACGCUGAGGAGCGAAAAGCUAGGGGAGCAAACGGG